UGGUGGUAGCUAUAUAGAUCUAUGUAUCAUAGAAGAGAAUUUUACUGGCCGGUUGUUGUUUAUUUCCGUCAACAUAUCUGCUUACGAGCUUCUCACAUCU